UUUGGGGAUUUUAUCACAUAGAAGACAUCCGUUCUCAUUCGAUCACCAAAGUUAAGCAAUGUAGAGCCUAGUUAGUACCUAGAUGGACAGCCAAUUGACAGCAUCAUCAGAGCGUCGGAU
rnacentral:rRNA from 1 species